UGAAACUAGUAAGAACAACAACAAAAACCUAUCCGCGUUUUUAAGAUUUCUCUUGGAAAUCCUGUGCUGAAAUACCUGUUGUUUCUGGAGAAAGACGAAUUGGGCGCUGUGGUGAAGGCGUUCCUUUCAGGUCUGCUGAGAAGAGUCUGACUUUCCAAGCUCUGAAUCCACCCCAAGAGGGAGUCCCAGUCCCAGUUUGGUCUGUGCCCUCCCUGGAGUUGAGGGAGCAGGAGAAGCAGCCACAGCCAAGCCUCUGCCUGUGUUUCCUGAGUAUUUUAGUGGAAGGCAGGAGACAGACUGUCAAAGUGACGGCAACGGAGAAUUUUUCCCUGAAACUGUCCAUCCAGUCCUGACUCAAGUGUGGCUCAAACCAAAGAAACAAAUCCAGGAAAGACUGGCAGCAACGUAAAGGAUGAAUUGGAGCUGGAAACCAGAUUCUAAGACACAUGGGGACAGUCUUAGCCUAAGAUGGAGAAGGGGUGCACCCACUCUGGCCCACUCUGCCAGGAAACCUCCCCUUGCUAUCUCCAUCCCCUCACUCUUGGCAAUUCCUCCUAUUCCCCCUGACUUCAUCUCCUCUUAAUGGUUCUGUUAAAAACAUUUUUAGUGCCAACUCUGCCAUGCACAGUAAGCGCUAAGAUAAGGACUGAAUAAGACAGUCCCUCUGCUAAGAAGUUCAUUCCUUAAGGAGACAGUCAAAUAAUUUCUGCAUGGCAGGAUUUAUGUCCAUGACAAAGGUGGGCACAGAGUGUUCUAAGAGCAGAGGACAGGCAUCUAGCCUAACCCCAGAGGGGAGCAGGAGGGGUCAAAGACGGUGCUCAGCGGGAUAAUAAACUACAUGGUGAAGAAUGUUUAAUAGUUAGCAAAGCAAACAUGAAGUUAGAUUAGCUGCUCUUACUUGAGCUUUGUUGACUGCUAUAUUCUCAAUGCCUACAACCAUGCUGGGCCUUGGGUAGUCUGUGAUGGAUACCAAAAGACUCAUCUCCAGCUGUCAGCUCCUCUGGAGUUUUUCUCAGCUUCAGAAGAUCAUCUCCCAAAGGAACAUAGCCAGCCUUCUCCAAGGAACCCACAUCUAGCUCCAGACACAUUAAUGCAACAAGAAUCAUGUCGGCAUCUGUGGAAGCAAAUGGAGAGAACAGCAGUUAAAGGGAGGGG